CGAUGGACAACGGGUUAAUAUUCCCGUACUACCGCAUAGAGCGAUGGGGUGACGGAGUAGUGAAAGUCUCGCGUACUGACGGAAUAGUACGUUGAAGGGUGUAGUUAUAGGCUGUGUAGGCAAAUCCGCACGGCUUGAUGAACCUGAUAGUACCACAAUGCUUCGGCAGCGUGGAUAGUAGACCUAAUCAGACUUCCAAGAAAAACCUCUAAGUAAUGUAUGUGGUACCCGUACCGUAAACCGACACAGGU
rnacentral:rRNA from 9 species